rnacentral:lncRNA from 1 species
GGAAACCGAGAGCGAGCCUCCGUGCUUUGCCCAGCAAUGGUGUUGAUGUGGCAUGAGGUCCCUGUAGCUCCCGUGUGGCCCCAUUUCUGCCCUCUGAAGCAGCAGAGCCCACGCACCAGUUGUUACAGAACCUCCCUACCUUGGCUGCCCGUCUCUGCAAAAAUGUGGUCAGACCGGAAUGGUCAACCUCAGAGCCUGGAGGUCCACUCUGAACUUAUGGCAAACUGAGAGCUACAGAGCAGCUGCUUCCACGCCCGGAGACGAGCAAGAGGUGGUUAGAAAGAGA